rnacentral:lncRNA from 1 species
UGAGUCCCAGUUGUUACAAGUGGUUUUAUUUAUAUUUGUAUAUUCAAUUCUUCUUCUUCUUCUUUUUUCCUGGAAUCAAGUAAUAUACUGGUGCUCAUCUGACAAGUUCAAUGUUGAAAAGGCAUUUUAUUUAUAUUUGUAUAUACUGACCUUCCUUUGCCCUAUGUGAAGCCAUACUCAUCCCAAAGUUUAAGUCUAUGUUUUGCCUUCCUUGCCAGACAAGGUCUGAGAUGUUUUUAAGGGCCAAUGCUUAUUUUAUGCAGACUUGGGUAUGGGUAUCAAAUGUAGGUGCAUGUUGACAUGUUGGAUAUUUCUAUUCUAUAGAAAUUCUUCUUCCAAACCCAUACCCAAGUGUCAAGCCAUGUUGUUUCUAUUGGCAGAACUAUUUGGGUAACCCAGAUGUCUAGAAAACAUAGACGCAACCUCAUUUGGAGAAUAUUAGAUAACUUUAUUAAGUGCACGUCUCAAUGUCUGGUCGAUCCUUCUAAAACCUAUAUAGUUUGUUUUAAGUAUUACAUUCAUGUAUUUUAUUUCAUGUAAGAUUUCAGACCGUUUUUGACCCUUUUUUUUGUUUGCGAAUGCUAGGGCUUUCUAUCUCAGUAUCCGACUCUAUACUGGUAGCUUACUGGUAUGGAUUGGGUUGGUAUGUGUCACGACCCCCGCCCUGUUCCCGGCGGGCCGCCGCGACGGUCCUAGGGUGCGGGUAGGCAUAAGGCCACCAGCCACCACGUAAAACCCUACUACCUAUCAAUCAUCAAUAAAUUCUGAAAAUUUUGGCAUGAUGAAUGCACAAAAUGAUCACCUUUCUUAUAGUGACCUGUCAGGAUUAUCUCAAUACAUACAACAACAUUACCUGUCAGAGCAGCAAUCACAUAACCUGUCACAUAACGAACCUGGACAAUAUAUAUCAAUACAUCAUCACAGGCAUAUAACUCAACUGUAUAAAAAUCUGGUUCCCAUUCCAUCCAUGGUCAAAC